AGAAGGACGUGGCUGCCGUUCAUGACCCACCAUGCAGCGUGGGCAGUGACAGGAGCGUGACUCACAGAUAAGCAUGCAGGCCUGAGCUCCACCCACCCUGACGGCCAGCGUGAUGGGGGGCAAGUUACCGAAUGACCCCACAGAGAGGGCUCCUGAUCUGCUCCAGGGAGGAAAUAAUCCCACCUCCCGGAAGAGGUAUGAGAGUAAAGGUUCGAGAGUCCAGACCACAGGACGAAAACAGAAACUCUUCCUUCCCUUCUUCAGCACCCACUUCCCCAGCUGCCUCAGGUGUCCACAGUAGGGAGAGAAGCCUCUCAGAAGGAAGAGUCGCAACCACAGGGAGUUGGAAAGAGAAGCUUCUCUAAGUGCUGGAUUAUCAAGAUAAAGGAAAGCACGUGAAACUGGGGCUGAAGAUCUUAGGACAUGUUCCCGACAUGGCCCUGCUGACCCUAAGGAUCAGGGAUGUGGCCAGAAGGCUGAGUACCAGCAUCCAGAGGCAAGAAAAGCCUGGGCUGGACCUGGGUCCCUGUGACACACGCGACAGGCAAGGAAAAUGGGCACAGGAUAAACAGGCGGCCGCACACACUGCCGAGCUCUUUCCCAGCCUCCUCCUCGGGGUCGACCUUCAGCCUCCAUUUCAAAGUCUCUCAGGGCAGAACAACAAGACCCAACAUGAUAAUUACAGUAAGUAAUAGCAAUUGUUAACAGUCAAUGGCACGUGGUGCUUACUCCACGUCAGGCAUUGUUCUAAAACGUUUACGCAUGUUCUCUCACUUCACCUUCCCCUGAGGAUGGGUAAACCGAGGCAUGGGGCAGUUACAUGACUCAUCCUGAAGUCGGAUGCACGGUAAAUGGGGGAGCCAGAGUUUAAAACACACGGUCUGGUUCCUGGUCUUCACUGCUACCCUCCAAGGCUGCCCCGAGCACCCUGUCCUCACGUCGCCCUCACUCAGCUCCUGGCUUCAUGUGCGUUUCUAGCAAAGUCAUAGCCAUGAUUUCUGCCACCCCUGUUUUCUCCACCCUAAGAUGGUACAGGAAUCAACACCAAUCUGACAGCUAUUCUGGAAGGAAACAGAAGGGCGUGCCUUCAUGCCCUAUCCAGAAAGAGGGACAGAGAACAUGUGCCAAGAGGUCCCAGGUCACAUGUAGUAGCGAGCACACGGUCAACAGCACAAUCGCUGCUCCAGGUUCUCGCUCCAGAACUUUCCAGGUUAUCCUCCCAGUAACCCUAGGAGAUCUAUAUACAUACACAAACACAUGCGUACAUCUGUGCUCGGCAUUUGCAGGCGUGUGUAAUACACACACGUAUACGCGUGCAUACGUGUGAGUUUAACACGUGCAGUCUGUGCACGUACGUGUAUACACGCGUGUGCGUGUGUGUAUAUAAAAUGGACAUACACUGGGGCGCCCGGGUGGCUCAGUCAGUUAAGCAUCCGACUUCAGCUCAGGUCAUGAUCUCGCGGUUCGUGAGUUCAAGCUCCGCACCGGGCUCUGUGCUGACAGCUCGGAGCCUGGAGCCUGCUUCGGCUUCUGUGUCUCUCUCUCUCUCUCUCUCUCUCUGCCCCUCCCCACCUCGCACUCUGUCCCUCUCUGUCUCUCAAAAAUGGAUAAACGUUAAAAAAAUUAUUUUUUAAAUGGACAUACACUUUUUCACAGGUAUUUUAUACAGAAAGGCUGCCAAAUCUCAGAAAGGACAAGUGACUUGUCCCAAUACCCACAGCCAGUGUGAGUGCUGGAGACAGUGUCGGAACCCAGGCAUCUAACCCUAAAGCAUGGGCUCUGACCCACCCACUAUACCUACAGCACCCUGACUUCACCCUUAGUGACCAACUGCUACAGCAUGGGUGAUCUUUGUGCCCAAACAGAGUGGAAGCAGACCCAGCUUCUGAAGCCUCCUGAGCCAAGCCGUCUGUGAUAUAAAAAGGAAAGCCAUUAACACGGAACCACGUCUGGGGCCAGCUGUGCCUCCUUUAUCACGUGAACAAGGCUCAAACCACGCUCGGGUGUCAGCCCCUUGAGUUACAUGAGAAUUUGCAAAACUAAACAUUCAUUGUCUUACGUCACUUUCCACCGAAGAAUUAAACACACUUCACCAUCAUGAAUCUGGACAGCAUCUUGGCUUAAAUGAUCGCCUUUCUGUUUUUAAAUAAGAGCGCUUCACAGACAAUCCCUCACAGAGAGUCGACAACAAGUAACACAAGAGGACACCAGCGUCAUCGACAUUUACUGCGCUCUCCCCGUGAACGAGACACUGCCCCCCGCCCCACGGGCACCACGGCAUGUAACCUCUCAACGGCCAGGGGCAGCCCUUCCUACUGCCACUUCUGUUGCUGAUGAUUCUUUACGAUGUCACUUAAGAAAGCCUUGCUUUAGUUCCACGCUGUAGCUCUUCCUUCUGGAGAUUUUCUCUGAUGCUGAACAGUGGGCCCAGAAAGCAUCUGUUCUGCCUCAUCAUUUUGCAACGUAUCUGAGACUCUGCCUGUGAAGGGGGUCCCGAGGCGAAGCCUCCUGGGAAGGACGCUCGCGUGCAGGGCUCACGGGGAAGCGGGGCACCUUCCCAUGCGCACAAAGGUUAGCAAGCAGGGGGCAGCGGGGGCAGACAAGCUGCUGCCCGGGCUUACUACUUACCAGUUCCGUGUGAACUUUAAGAUGUGCCUGCAGCUUGUAUUUAUCUGGAGUUGAGUAGUUGCAGCCAUCGGUGGGACACUUCAGCAGGACGUUACUGUGUUUCUGAAUAACGUGGCGUUUAAGGCAGUUUUUGGUGAUGGAGGAAUAAUGGCACUGGGAGCAGUGAUACAGGUGCUCCCGGGUGUGGGUGCGCACGUGCAUGUCAAAGUGCACUUGGUACCAAAAAAGUUUGCCUAAAAAAAUAUCGUCACGUG
rnacentral:lncRNA from 1 species